CCAGACUCCUACGGGAGGCAGCAGUAGGGAAUCUUCGGCAAUGGGGGGAACCCUGACCGAGCAACGCCGCGUGAGUGAAGAAGGUUUUCGGAUCGUAAAGCUCUGUUGUAAGAGAAGAACGGGUGUGAGAGUGGAAAGUUCACACUGUGACGGUAUCUUACCAGAAAGGGACGGCUAACUACGUGCCAGCAGCCGCGGUAAUACGUAGGUCCCGAGCGUUGUCCGGAUUUAUUGGGCGUAAAGCGAGCGCAGGCGGUUAGAUAAGUCUGAAGUUAAAGGCUGUGGCUUAACCAUAGUAUGCUUUGGAAACUGUUUAACUUGAGUGCAGAAGGGGAGAGUGGAAUUCCAUGUGUAGCGGUGAAAUGCGUAGAUAUAUGGAGGAACACCGGUGGCGAAAGCGGCUCUCUGGUCUGUAACUGACGCUGAGGCUCGAAAGCGUGGGGAGCAAACAGGAUUAGAUACCCUGGUAGUCCACGCCGUAAACGAUGAGUGCUAGGUGUUAGGCCCUUUCCGGGGCUUAGUGCCGCAGCUAACGCAUUAAGCACUCCGCCUGGGGAGUACGACCGCAAGGUUGAAACUCAAAGGAAUUGACGGGGGCCCGCACAAG
rnacentral:rRNA from 1 species